rnacentral:tRNA from 1 species
GCGGAAUAGCUCAGUUGGUAGAGCACAACCUUGCCAAGGUUGGGGUCGCGAGUUCGAAUCUCGUUUCCCGCUCCA